AGAGUUUGAUUAUGGCUCAGGAUGAACGCUAGCGGCAGGCUUAACACAUGCAAGUCGAGGGGCAGCGGGAUGUAGCAAUACAUUGCCGGCGACCGGCGGAUGGGUGCGUAACGCGUAUGCAACCUACCUUAUACAGGGGAAUAACCUUUCGAAAGGGAGACUAACACCCCAUGGUAUUGAUUUAAGGCAUCUUAGAUUAAUUAAAUAUUUAUAGGUAUAAGAUGGGCAUGCGUAUGAUUAGCUAGUUGGUAAGGUAACGGCUUACCAAGGCGACGAUCAUUAGGGGUUCUGAGAGGAAGGUCCCCCACACUGGUACUGAGACACGGACCAGACUCCUACGGGAGGCAGCAGUGAGGAAUAUUGGUCAAUGGGCGCAAGCCUGAACCAGCCAUGCCGCGUGCCAGGAAGACGGCCUUAUGGGUUGUAAACUGCUUUUACAUAAGACUAACCGUAUAUUUGCGAAUAUACCUGAAUGUAUUAUGAGAAUAAGGAUCGGCUAACUCCGUGCCAGCAGCGGC
rnacentral:rRNA from 1 species